AAGGCUGUGCAUAUCGACGGCAGCAAGCAGGCAGAACAGGUGCACAUAACGCUGGGUGGCCCCAACGAGGUUGUGGUGACUUUUGCGACGGCUGA
rnacentral:SRP_RNA from 1 species